AAUCAACGCUGGCGGCGUGCCUAACACAUGCAAGUCGAACGAGAAAGGGGAGCAAUCCCUGAGUACAGUGGCGACCGGGUGAGUAACACGUGACUACCUACCCUUGAGUGGGGAGUAACCUACGGGAACCGAGGCUAAUACCGCAUAAUAUCGCAAGAUCAAAGGAAGCAAUCCGCUCUUGGAGGGGGUCGGCGGCUGAUUAGCUAGUUGGUAGGGUAAGUGG
rnacentral:rRNA from 1 species